rnacentral:rRNA from 1 species
ACUCCUACGGGAGGCAGCAGUGAGGAAUAUUGCGCAAUGGGCGAAAGCCUGACGCAGCAACGCCGCGUGGGGGAUGAAGGUCUUCGGAUUGUAAACCCCUUUCGGGAGGGAAGAUGGGACGGGCAAUCGUUCGGACGGUACCUCCAGAAGCAGCCACGGCUAACUUCGUGCCAGCAGCCGCGGUAAUACGAAGGUGGCAAGCGUUGUUCGGAUUUACUGGACGUAAAGGGAGCGUAGGCGGUUUGGUAAGCCCUCCGGGAAAUCUUCGGGCUUAACCCGGAAAGGUCGGAGGGGACUGCCUGGCUAGAGGACGGGAGAGGAGCGCGGAAUUCCCG